GUUUUCAUAUGUGAGGUAAUCUUACUGGGAGUGAAGACAGUGCGUAUGGCCGCUUGAUACGAGAGACACAUUCUAUUUUUAAAGGUCAACAUACUGUAAGCUUCAUUCCCUUUAAAGCAGAGUUUUCAUAUGUGAGGUAAUCUUGCUGGGAGUGAAGGCAGUCCGUAUGACCACUUGAUAUGAAAGACACAUCCUGUUUUUAAAGGUGAUGUAGGCAUGUUACUUUCAAUGCUGGCAUUAAAAUAAUAGUUAUUUACUGUUUAAACAUUUUGGAGAUUGUGUGUGUGAUCUUGUGGCACAUUUACUUGUGAUAACAGAAUUAUUUUUGUCUAUCUGUUGUAGGUGGAUCAUGAGUGAAGCUCUGCAGGUCUGCCAUUGGCUUGAUAACAGUGGUUUAUGUGAAUUGAGUGAAUUCAAUUUAUAAAUAAAUCUU